GCGUCAUUUAACAGACAUGUUGACUUAACACAUUUCACAGCAGUAUACAAGUAAAUACAAAGAUGGAAAAGUAGGAAAUGUCAAAUAUAAAGCACUUUUUAUAAUAAACAAGAGAGGGAAAUUAGUUGCCAAAAUACAUUGUUAGCAAAAUGAGGCUAGGAAAAGCUUUAGGAAGCUGCAGAGCUGCAAAACUACGGAUAAAUACAAGAUACUUAAGUCACUAGGUGGAUACAUAGAUUUAAAUCAAGGAGAGCACUAAAUUAAAGUAGGUAGACCUAGCAGAUAAUGUAUGUAGUUAGAAUAGCAAUAUAACAGCCAAGCUACAAGAAAUGCCCUUCUGCCUCCUAUGUCUAGUCCUAUGCAUACUUCCAGCUGUUGGUUACCCUGGGGGAGCCCUUCAUGGUGCCCAAACCCCCAGAGAGUCUAAACUAAUCUGCUGCAGGAAGGUAGACCUGGCGCCGGCUAUAUCUUGCAUCUGCGGACUCGCGGAUCUUCUCUCUCGGCAGCGUGAUGGGGCACCGAUGAUCGCGCCG